AGGCCUAACACAUGCAAGUCGAGCGGUAACACAAGGGAGCUUGCUCCUGAGGUGACGAGCGGCGGACGGGUGAGUAAUGCCUAGGUAUCUGCCCAGUCGAGGGGGAUAACAGUUGGAAACGACUGCUAAUACCGCAUACGCCCUACGGCGGAAAGGAGGGGACCUUCGGGCCUUCCGCGAUUGGAUGAACCUAGGUGCGAUUAGCUAGUUGGUGAGGUAAUGGCUCACCAAGGCGACGAUCCCUAGCUGGUCUGAGAGGAUGAUCAGCCACACUGGAACUGAGACACGGUCCAGACUCCUACGGGAGGCAGCGGUGGGGAAUAUUGCACAAUGGGCGAAAGCCUGAUGCAGCCAUGCCGCGUGUGUGAAGAAGGCCUUCGGGUUGUAAAGCACUUUCAGCGAGGAGGAAAGGUUANGUCUUAAUACGGCUUAGCUGUGACGUUACUCGCAGAAGAAGCACCGGCUAACUUCGUGCCAGCAGCCGCGGUAAUAC
rnacentral:rRNA from 1 species